CCAGGGGCUGGGAGGAGAAAAUGCCCUUCUGGCCGUCACGUACCUGAUGUCCACUUCCGUGCUGCAGGAGUGACAGUAACACUUGGGUGGUUGAGGAGGAAGUGAACCGGAAACAGAGAAAGAAACAGGAGGGGUGAGGUCCUUUCUCUUGCCUGGAUAGGACGUGCACAGGAUGGAACACCCAGUACGAUGGGCAAUAGAAGUGGUGACCCGGAAAGCCGUCCAUUCACGAGCUGGGGGCUGGGAAAUCUGUCACAUGUCCGCAUUGAACAGGUUGUUCCCUACAAGAGAAACACCCUAAGGAUAUAGGCUCCCUACUUACCGUCCGUUGACAACCUGCUCAUCAUACCUGAAGAAGAAGAUAUACCACAUGGUAUGCAAGUACAAGACAAAGAAAUAUUCCUAAUUAAUGGAUUUCUCCAACUCAACAGAUGUAACAACCUCUCUUCUUUGGGAAGUAUGGCUUACGGUGGCUCAGGCAUGAUUUAGGGUGUCCCCCAAUACCCACCACUGUCCCUUUUCCCCAUCUUCACUAGCCUGCAUGUCUAAUAUAAUCUGUUCAUUUGCGUCUCUUCUCUACCAGCGUCUGAGUUUCUCAAGGACGAGCAUCUCUGAUCCAUCUCUGGGUUCCCAUCACCCAAGGAUGGGUCCAGGCUCAUAGUGGAUGCUCAGAAAUUCAUGCUCAAGGUUCGCCCACCAAAGUUCACAGUCCAAAGCCAUCACGCAUGUGGCAUGGUAUUUACCUAGGAUUCCUGGCAGCAGCCCAUGCAGAAGAGGAGUUGGCAGCCAAGGUCACAGACGCGGUACAGAAUGGCGGGAUCGUGGAGAUGGCGCCACAGACCAAACAUAAGAUGAGAUACUGAGGAUCAGACCGUUGGCCCCAUGUUGCCUGUGAAGAUCACUCAGGAGAAAUCAUGACACCUCAUGCAGCUGAUUGGGAGCCGGGCUACAGCCAGGAGAAGAAAGACAGCAGAAAUUACCCUCCCUCUGACACGGGCAAUCAAACCGAACUGAGAGAGCUGGAACAAGAGUCUUACCUUUCAGCACUUGUUGAUGUUCAAGCAGUGGGAAGGAGAGGUCCGAUGGUGGCCGGCAGGGGUCAUUUUCCCAAUAAAGGUUCAGAGAGAAUACGAAAUCAAUCAAGUCGUCCUGUGUACCUCAUGGCACCCCAUAGGUCCCAAGACGGGAUAAGGAACCAGAAAGAGAAGCUGUGACCCAUUCUAAGAGUCCUGGACCCCUUUGGAGACACAUUUACCCCAAAGUCAAAACCCCCCAGGGAUCCCAGCUGCCUGGGGCAUCCAAAUUCUCCCCCUCCAUCUGAGUUUUGGGAGGUUGGCCGAAGGAACCAAUUAUCAUCCCCAGUUUUCAACUGGAGACCGGGAGUGUUAAUACUUGGAAAAGAGGGAAGCCUGGCCACCCUACACCAUAUUUUUCUUGUCUAAAACCCACCAAAUGAAAACAUGCAAUCCAGCCCAAUUCGGUUGUACUUUUUGGAGCAUGUCACUGAUCCUACUGAAAAUCUGAUCAAAUCUAUGAAUUCCAUAUUCCCAGAAAACCACACCAGUUCCCUGCCCUCUUUCUCUCUCUCUCUCUCACACACACUGAGUUUUAUGCAAGAUUACAAAGGCUCUCUGAAGUCCAUCUAUUUGCCCCCUUGGAUAUGCAGAUUCUGGGUUUGGAGCUUGAGUUGGGACCAAGAGCAUCUCCCAGAAUCUGCCUUGGUUGAAUGUGGUGGUCAGAACUUUUGUCUGUUCCUUUCUCCCCCUUCUCUGGGUUGAAGGGCUCCCUAGUGAGGUAGGGAGAAGGAGAUGGGACUUACUUACGUUUGACUAGAAAGGCAACAGAACCAGGAAUCGGUGAAUUGACAUGGAAAAUAAAAGCAAGGGAGAGAAUAGGGUUAAUGCUAACAUUACUUAUCUCAGUUAAUUUAUUUAUUCCUUCUUGGAGCAUUUAUCUGCCUUUACCACUUAGAGUUAUGCCCUGCCCCCAAGACAAAGCCUGUGUGGCAGACCCGAGUCCCACCUUUCCCCAGAAUUCCCUGAGGGGUGUUGACAUCAGAAGGAAUCUGAGAGGAGUUAGUUAGCUGUGGGAAUAUAAACUUGGGGGUUCACACAGUUCUUACUUUUUUC